CACUUACCCAAGCCAUUCACAGGCUCAGCAUCGCACAGUUGAUUCAGCACCUUGCUAAUAGCGCACACAUUAACUGCAGCGCAGAUCAGAGGAGGAGUGCAGUUAUGAGAGGGAGGGGGGGACAUCUGUGUUGAGCAAAUGUGUGCAUGGUGCGUCUAGUGUGUGUGUUUGUGGGAGAAAGGGAAAUAGAGGCAGUGAGCGCAGGAGGGAGAGAAGGAGAGGACGUGUGAGGAAGGAUGGCUGCUCAUGUUUGAACAGCCUCACCUGCCCAAAAAGGAGGCAAACAAAUUCAGGAGAGCCUGACAAAACGCUCCAGAGGAAAAGGAUUUGUUCAUCAUUUGCCAAAAAAGAAGAAAAAGAUUUGGCAAUGCCUGCUGAAGUGAAAGAGGAAGAAAGUCUGGAGGAACUGCCUCCAUUCACUCCAUCACACAAGGCAAAAGAGUCGAACCAGGAAAACCCGAUCGCCACAGAUGAACUGGACACGCCCACUUCCAUUGCUUCGGUGAUGACUUCCACCAAUGAAAGCUCCACAGAAACUGACACCCCGCACCAGACAGACACUGAGGAGUCCAAGGUGUUGGAGCAAGAGAGUGAAAAGACCCCGAGUGAGACGCAAGAAAACCCAGAGAGCGUCCAUGCUCCAGGAAACUCUUAUUCUGCGAUACUUCUGAGGCUCCGGAAAACGCUUCCACUCAGCAGCCUGUAUUCGAGCCAAAUGCUGAGGCCUGUGAAUCUGUCACACCGACCACAACAGCCACCGGCGCCGCCACAACAAACCCACAACCUCAGCAAGUGGUGCCGGCUGCUGAGUCCCCCACAGACGCCCACAGCAGAGUGUACACCCUCCCCGAUGCCUUCAGGGGCGUACGAAGUGACCUUUAUGCAGGAUAUGGAAGUCUUUCUCGCUUCAGCCUCCAUGGCUACCUGCCCACCAAAAACUUCCAGCCUGGCGCUCACUACACCCUCCCCUUCCUCAGAGACAGCUACACCCCGACGUGCAUCAGUAACCAAACGGAGGAGGACAGAGAGAACCUUCUGGACAAGAAAAGCGAUGACUUAGCUGCCGGUUACCAAACAUUGGGAGGGAUCCACCAGUUUAGGCCCAUUACCACCAUGGAGCUGUUCAGGGAGCCCUCCAGGACCAGGUAAGAGGAUUCAACAUGAGAUUAAAAGCUUCUGAUCCCACAGGGAGAGAUGUGUGAAAAGCUUUAAUGCUCUGCACAAGCAAUAAGACAAAUGUAGC
rnacentral:lncRNA from 1 species